UGGGGAAUAUUGGACAAUGGGCGAAAGCUUGAUCCAGCAAUACCGCGUGGGUGAUGAAAGUCCACGGCCGUAAAACCCUUUCGAUAGAGAAAAUUAUGAUUGUACACUAUAGAAGAAGCCCCGGCUAAUUCCGUGCCAGCAGCCGCGGUAAUACGGGAGGGGCGAGUGUUAUUCGAAAUGACUGGGCGUAAAGGGCACGUAGGUGGCUAGCUGAUGUUUAGGAGAUAAAGGCUGUUUUUACAAAGACAAAAUUUUCCAGACACUGGUUAUGCUUUUGAGUUUAGUAGAAGAUAGCGGAAUUUAUCAGUGUAGAGGUAAUAUUCAUAAAAAUUGAAAAGACCGCCGACGCGAAGGCAGCUAUCUAUAUUAUAACUGACGCUGAGGUGCGAAAGCAUGGGGAGCAAACCGG
rnacentral:rRNA from 1 species